GGGAGCUACAAUACAAUGCUUCUUUUAGGGGAUCUUUCUACAUGGGAUGAACUGGCUGAAGCAUCUUUAAAUGUAAUUCCAAUGAUAUUUAAACUAAAGAUGGUUAUCUUUUCUAAGUCAAUAUCCCUAAGGCAAACAUAAGCAUUCUUCAUAUGUCCAACAACCUCUUAACUGUGCUCAAAAUUGGGUCAUCUUAAAUUUUUUAAAGAAUAACCACAAUCUGUCAUAUCUGGGGCCUAUUCUGUACUUACAUAACUGUUCUCAAACAAUAAACCACACUAUACUGGACACGGAAAUGUGUGUAAGAGAGUAUUGGUUGGAUGUGCAGUUAGUCUUCGGACUCAAGAACAAACACUGACCAAAUUGGUUAGGUUAAUGAAUUUGGGCUUCAGUAUUGUCCUAGUCAAUGUCAUCAGCAUCCAAAACUAUUCAUGAAUUAUUUACACAUAUGUAUAUAUGUUUGUUGUAUAGUAUGGAACCCAAAUAGGAACCAAAUUGUCAGUACAACCCAUUUUUUUCAUAAUGAGUUGGAUCUUAGAGACUGUGAAGAAACCCACUUUUACAAAAUUAAGAAGUGCUUUUUUUUCUUGAAAGGUGUUUUAAAAGUAUGCAUAGAAAAAAAUGUUUGAUAAAAUCAGGAACACUAGGGGAUCCCUGGGUGGCUCAGCGGUUUAGUGUCUGCCUUCGGCCAAGGCCGUGAUCCUGGAGUCCCGCAAUUGAGUCCCACGUCAGGCUCCCUGUGUGGAGCCUGCUUCUGCCUGUGUCUCUGCACCCCACCCCCUGUGUCUCUCAUGAAUAAAUAAAUGAAAUCUUUUAAAAAAGAAAUCAGGAACACUAAUGUGAGAAUUUGUUCAUUCAUCAAAUGCCUGUUACAUGCCAAAGUAUACUACACACCAGCAAUAUAAGAUAAAUGUGCUGUCCCUAUUUUUGAAGAGUUCUAAAACUAAGCACUUACAUGUCCCACACAGGCUGGUAGGUCCUAACAUACAGUUAUGGAGGAGGAAGAAGAGGAGUCAACCACAGUGGGUUAAGAAAACAUCUCAAAUUUGCCUGGUGUCAUCAAACUAUAGAAAUGAAUUAUACCCUGACCAGAAGAUAGCCCUGAAAAUCAGAGAACACAGUGCAUUGGCCAGAAUGGUGAAGGAACCUUGGAAAUGUGUGAAGGUGCUGGAAAGGUGAAUCAAUCCAUGAAGAUGGUUUGCUCUGGAGCCCCCUGGGGACAUUCUUG
rnacentral:lncRNA from 1 species